UUCGAAGCAACGCGAAGAACCUUACCAGAUCUUGACAUCCAAUUGACCAUCUUUAAUCGAGAUUUUGCCUUCGGGUACAAUUGAGACAGGUGGUGCAUGGUUGUCGUCAGCUCGUGUCGUGAGAUGUUGGGUUAAGUCCCGCAACGAGCGCAACCCUUGUGUUUAGUUGCAAACAGGUCAAGCUGUGCACUCUAGACAGACUGCCGUGGACAACACGGAGGAAGGUGGGGAUGACGUCAAAUCAUCAUGCCCCUUAUGAUCUGGGCUACACACGUGCUACAAUGGCCGGUACAACGGGCAGCGAAGGAGCGAUCCGGAGCGAAUCCUAAAAAGCCGGUCCCAGUUCGGAUUGCAGGCUGAAACUCGCCUACAUGAAGUUGGAGUUGCUAGUAAUCGCGAAUCAGAAUGUCGCGGUGAAUGCGUUCCCGGGUCUU
rnacentral:rRNA from 1 species